ensembl:miRNA
CCUCUUGAGGUACCUGAAUUACCAAAAGCUAUGUAUUCUGAAGUUAUUGAAAAUAAGAGCUUUUGGGAAUUCAGGUAGUUCAGGAGUG